GCCUUUUUUCUCCCUCAAUUGUUCCCUAGCCUGUAACUGGUCAAGGAGCCUGAUACAGAGCAACAAAGCAGAAUGGCCCAAGAGACCAGCCUUGAAGAACACCUGGUACAUGCACAGAUGUCAGUUCACCACAAAGAAGGAUUUAUACCAGAGCUACAAUGACCUUGCUGAAAUGGCUCACACUGAUACAGGAAAGAGCAGAAUUCUGCUUUCCAUGUCAGGCAAACUGAAUGGAAGAUAAGCUUGAAUGGAACAGGAGACAAUCACAUCUCUG